AGCUGGCCGAGCAGCGGCACCAGCUGGAGCGGGACGGUCUGCAGAAGUCGCUGGCGGCGGCGGCGGCGGAGCUGCAGCAGCUGACGGCCAGUCUGGACGAGAGCCGGCAGGAGAAGUUCGCCCUGCAGACUCAGGUCGCCGAACUGAGGUCGGCGCUGCAGACCAGCAGCGAGCAGGUCAAGGAGCUGCACGGCCGGCUGGGCGCGCUGGAGGGCACACGCG